rnacentral:rRNA from 1 species
AUUGAACGCUGGCGGCAGGCCUAACACAUGCAAGUCGAGCGGAUGGAGGGAGCUUGCUCCUGGAUUCAGCGGCGGACGGGUGAGUAAUGCCUAGGAAUCUGCCUGGUAGUGGGGGGAUAACGUCCGGAAACGGGCGCUAAUACCGCAUACGUCCUGAGGGAGAAAGUGGGGGAUCUUCGGACCUCACGCUAUCAGAUGAGCCUAGGUCGGAUUAGCUAGUUGGUGGGGUAAAGGCCUACCAAGGCGACGAUCCGUAACUGGUCUGAGAGGAUGAUCAGUCACACUGGAACUGAGACACGGUCCAGACUCCUACGGGAGGCAGCAGUGGGGAAUAUUGGACAAUGGGCGAAAGCCUGAUCCAGCCAUGCCGCGUGUGUGAAGAAGGUCUUCGGAUUGUAAAGCACUUUAAGUUGGGAGGAAGGGCAGUAAGUUAAUACCUUGCUGUUUUGACGUUACCAACAGAAUAAGCACCGGCUAACUUCGUG